CUUCGGGUCGUAAAGCUCUGUUGUUAGGGAAGAACAAGUACGAGAGUAACUGCUCGUACCUUGACGGUACCUAACCAGAAAGCCACGGCUAACUACGUGCCAGCAGCCGCGGUAAUACGUAGGUGGCAAGCGUUGUCCGGAAUUAUUGGGCGUAAAGCGCGCGCAGGCGGUCCUUUAAGUCUGAUGUGAAAGCCCACGGCUCAACCGUGGAGGGUCAUUGGAAACUGGGGGACUUGAGUGCAGAAGAGGAGAGUGGAAUUCCACGUGUAGCGGUGAAAUGCGUAGAGAUGUGGAGGAACACCAGUGGCGAAGGCGACUCUCUGGUCUGUAACUGACGCUGAGGCGCGAAAGCGUGGGGAGCAAACAGGAUUAGAUACCCUGGUAGUCCACGCCGUAAACGAUGAGUGCUAAGUGUUAGAGGGUUUCCGCCCUUUAGUGCUGCAGCUAACGCAUUAAGCACUCCGCCUGGGGAGUACGGCCGCAAGGCUGAAACUCAAAGGAAUUGACGGGGGCCC
rnacentral:rRNA from 2 species